rnacentral:rRNA from 1 species
UAAGGAAUAUUGGUCAAUGGACGAAGUCUGAACCAGCCAUGCCGCGUGGAGGAUGAAGGUCCUCUGGAUUGUAAACUUCUUUUAUCUGGGACGAAAAAAGGUCUUUCUAGAUCGUCUGACGGUACCAGAUGAAUAAGCACCGGCUAACUCCGUGCCAGCAGCCGCGGUAAUACGGAGGGUGCAAGCGUUAUCCGGAUUCACUGGGUUUAAAGGGUGCGUAGGUGGGUUGGUAAGUCAGUGGUGAAAUCUUCGAGCUUAACUCGGAAACUGCUAUAACUAUCAGUCUUGAAUAUUGUGGAGGUUAGCGGAAUAUGUCAUGUAGCGGUGAAAUGCUUAGAUAUGACAUAGAACACCAAUUGCGAAGGCAGCUGGCUACACAUAUAUUGACACUGAGGCACGAAAGCGUGGGGAUCAAACAGGAUUAGAUACCCUGGUAGUCCACGCCCUAAACUAUGGAUACUCGACAUACGCGAUACACUGUGUGUGUCUGAGCGAAAGCAUUAAGUAUCCCCACCUGGGAAGUACGAUCGCAAGAUUGAAACUCAAAUGAA